CAAAUUAUGGAAAGGAGUGCGCUGAUGAAUGCGCGCAGAGAAAUGAGAAAUAUUUCUGGUGCCAUCUUAAAUUAGGAGGCUGGGGAUAUUGUUCCCCAGAUCUUAUUUAUAAAACAGAAAACCAGUGCAGGGGUUCUGAGCUAUUAGCGAUACAAGGAACUUGCCAACAGUACGUAAACUGUUUAUCCGGCCAACCCAUAAUCUUCUCCUGUCUGGCAGAUCUACAUUUUGAUUAUAUUAAUAAGAUUUGUACUUUCCGGAAGGACGCCAGAUGUGUUGGUGACCCUUUAUAAAUCAGAAGCUUUCCCUUUAAUUGCGGCCAUUUUUAUAAAAUAGAAAUUUAUUUUUA